ACAAAACAGUUUUACAAGCUGCUUAAAUAGCAGCCGUCUUUGCCGGGAGUACUGCGGCCCGGUACAAGGCGUCGAUUAGCAGUGAACGUGCAUGGGUGAGCGCUCCGUAACCCGUCAUGAACAACGGAACUACCGAACCGGUGAGCCUGCCUGACGGCGCUCCGGCGAGGGAAUCUUAAAAGACAGGCUACGCCCGUAGAAAGCUGUGGGGAGCCCUUUUCGGACGCGGUUUCGAUUACCGCCAUCUCCACCA
rnacentral:tmRNA from 1 species